rnacentral:misc_RNA from 1 species
AAGUCGUAACAAGGUUUCCGUAGGUGAACCUGCGGAAGGAUCAUUAUUGAAUAAACCUGGCUUGGUUGAUGCUGGUCUUUUCGGAGACAUGUGCACACCUUGUCAUCUUUAUAUCUCCACCUGUGCACUUUUUGUAGACCUGGAUUCAACUUUCCGAAGAAACUCGGUUGUGAGGAAUUGCUUAAUAGGCUUUCCUUGUUAGUUUCCAGGGCUAUGUUUUCAUAUACACCUUAUGAAUGUAACAGAAUGUCAUUAUUAGGCUUAAUUGUCUUAUAAACUAUAUACAACUUUCAGCAACGGAUCUCUUGGCUCUC